GGUCACAGAAUUUGGUGUAACACCGGAAGUGUCUGGUCAGAGUUUGUAGAAGUGCUAACGGCUACGCUAAUGCAUUACAGAGCGCGAUACGAUUCUCUGACUGAAUGUGUCAUCUCCACUCCGGACACAAAUUUAAACACUGUCGCCAUGCUACCGCAGCAGUGAACCUUCUUCACGGCAAUAAAAAGAAACGACUGCAUAUCCUUCUGCUUAUCCAAGCGGUGAAACUAGGUGUGAAUGACCGACGUGGUGCCUACCACUGCCCUCAGUGAAAUAAAGCUCCGCCUACUCUGCCACGAUGACAUAGAGAGAAUAAAAGUGCUCUGUGGAGAGUGGUUUCCCAUUGAGUAUCCAGACUCAUGGUACCAUGACAUCACAUCAAAUAAGAAGUUCUUCUCUCUGGCUGCCACCUUUAGAGGUGGAAUUGUCGGGAUGAUUGUGGCAGAAAUAAAAAGCAGGACCAAAGUGCACAAAGAGGAUGGAGACAUCUUGGCCUCCAGCUUUCCUGUUGACACUCAAGUUGCGUACAUCCUGAGUUUAGGGGUCGUGAAGGAGUUUCGAAAACAUGGAAUAGGCUCUCUUUUACUAGACAGUCUAAAGGAGCACAUCUCCACCACGGCACAGGACCACUGUAAAGCCAUCUACCUGCAUGUGCUCACCACCAAUAACACUGCCAUUCACUUCUAUGAGAACAGAGACUUUAAACAGCACCACUAUUUACCGUAUUAUUACUCUAUACGAGGAGUGCUGAAGGAUGGCUUCACCUAUGUCCUCUACAUCAAUGGCGGACAUCCUCCAUGGACUAUCUUAUAUCCUUUUCAAAUAAAUGCAGCUUUGAUGUUAAUAAGUUACAAAAAUUCUACCAACCCCAAACUUUUGAUCAGUAGUGUAUAUUCCCAGUUGUCUAAUAGCGUUCCUUGACUCACUCGGCACUGAUUAUAUUCAUCAUAUAGGUUCGGCACUGGCCAGUCUGAGCCCCUGCUCAAUUCCUCAGAGAAUUUACCGGCAAGCACAGAAUCUGCUGCGCAGUUUUCUGCCGUGGUCGGGCAUCUCUUCCAAGAGCGGCAUUGAGUACAGCAGAACAAUGUGAGGAUCGUCAGGUCACGACAGUGCAGGGUGGAAGGGAUUGAUUUGUUUGGGUCACAUCAGAUGCCGAAGAGGAUUGUGAAGACUGACAUCAGAUCUCGAGCAGUGUAUUAUACUUGUAUAUUUUACAUGUAUAUACCUAUAUAUACUUUAAUUAAUAUAUGCCUAGUCAUUAGUAGAUUGCCCUCUUAAUAUAAAAUCUCCACUUCAUGCCUGUAAUUUUGCUGCUGUGUAGAAAUAUAUUGCUUAUCCAGAUUUUUAAUAUAAAUAGAUUUUUUUUAUUUGUGCCUGUUCUAUAUAGGUGAUUUUAGGGUUUGAUGGUAGAAGUAUGCAUACUUUUUUUCAUUUAGUCACUUUCAUGCAUGUGUCAAGCACUAUAGUGUGGGGUUUUGUGCAGGAACACUUUGACACUAAGCAUAUAUUUUAGCCCCCAGUUUUAAGUAAGAUGUUUUUUUAAUAACAUUUUGCACAGAGGCAAUGAAUGUAGUGUUGCUAUGAAGGGAAAAUAACACAGAUGCAGACAACCCUCCAUCUCGCCAAAUGUGUAUUGUCACUGUCAAAUGCAAAUGUGAAAACUCUUUAAAUUCAGAUCAUCUUAAUUUAGCUAGAGAGUUGCAUCCUGCCGUUCCAUGCAGUGUACUUUCUGUUCUUUUAAUGGGGAAAUAAGUGAAUGUUGAGGGGGGAGGAAUGCUUGAAUUUCGGUAUGUUGCUGUGAAUCAGGGAUUUACACACAAAAUAAACAUGUUUAAAAAUAGA